rnacentral:rRNA from 1 species
GUUGAACGCUGGCGGCAUGCUUUACACAUGCAAGUCGAACGGCAGCGCGGGCUUCGGCCUGGCGGCGAGUGGCGAACGGGUGAGUAAUAUAUCGGAACGUACCCAAGAGUGGGGGAUAACGUAGCGAAAGUUACGCUAAUACCGCAUACGAUCUAAGGAUGAAAGCAGGGGAUCGCAAGACCUUGUACUCCUGGCGCGGCCGAUAUCUGAUUAGCUAGUUGGUGGGGUAAAGGCCCACCAAGGCAACGCUCAGUAGCUGGUCUGAGAGGACGACCAGCCACACUGGAACUGAGACACGGUCCAGACUCCUACGGGAGGCAGCAGUGGGGAAUUUUGGACAAUGGGGGCAACCCUGAUCCAGCAAUGCCGCGUGAGUGAAGAAGGCCUUCGGGUUGUAAAGCUCUUUUGUCAGGGAAGAAAAGGUCGUGGCUAAUAUCCACGGCUGCUGACGGUACCUGAAGAAUAAGCACCGGCUAACUACGUGCCAGCCGCCGCCGUAA